UCCGUUGUUAUAGUGUAACUAAACUGAAGUUCAGGGUUACUAUGCUGUGAUAAGAAGGAAAUGUAACUUUUUCAAAUUCUACACUUUACAGCUAAAUGCACUAUUAUGUGCAAAGCGGAUACUAUAACAAUUAUUUUAAGUCGGUUUCUCUAAAAACUGAAAUUGAAGGCCUUGGGCGGAAAAAAAGAAACUUGAGAACACCCUGACCAGAACUGAAUUAUCCAGAAGCCGGUAAGCCACUGACUAACGCACAUUGUGUCUCUUUGCGUUCCCACUGUGCGUGUGACAGCGGCUAACCAGCUUCUCGGGCAGCGCUCCCGGACCCGCGCCCGCGCCUGCGCCUUGAUCGACAGAGAGAAAGCGAAAGCGAGAGCGAGCCUGGAGAGGAGGAGGAGGAGGAGCAGCAGCAGCAGCAGCAGCAGCCCACGGAAACCUGGACAUCUUCAGCACAGCCAUGGCGAGUCGAGGAGGCAGCAUGAAUCAUCAUCCUCAAGCCCUUCCCUAUUACUUCCAGUAACACUUCUGCGUGGUCAUUUAAGUACGUUGUGCCGUUUCUCAAAUUGUGUGCAUUCAGUAUGGGAAUCGCUACACAGAGAUAGGAAUGUCAUAACAUUUUAUCAAGUGAGUUUGAUGGACCGAAUGGUCUGUUCUUGUUUCUUACACUUGUGUUCCGACUACAUAUCGAAUGAGCUAGAGUCCUAUAAAAUAUUAUUAUAGUGGGCUUUGUGCUGUUGGGUUUGUCAUGUCAUAAUUCGGGUUGCACCUUAUUAGGGCUUAGCAACCUAAUGACACUUGGUAGUUUUUUAUUUGUAAAAAUUAAAAACUGCAAUCGGGAAUUCAGCUUCACAUUCCUAAUAUACUGUGUUGUGAUGAGUCCUACUACUAAGCCACCAAAGUCAAACAGACCAUUCGGAUUCCUUGGAGGGACCAGAGACACGUGUGCACACACAGUAGUGUUUAAUAUAUAGAAGAAGAUAGUGGGGUGUCCAGUUCUGAUCCUGGAGGGCCAUGGUGCCUCCAGAUGCCACUUUCUUAAUCAGUGACUAUUUUUUUGCUGUUAAUUGUCUGCUUUUUUCCUCUUCGUUUUAAUGGCCAUUUUUUUUAAGACUCUGAAUUGCUUCUUUUCUCCUUAAAUGUUAGCCACACCAAAAUGAAAUGUGAAGAGGAACAACUGAUGAUUAGGGCUUCAAAGUCCAACUAUUUUGUUAAUUGGAAGCAGAUUCUUGUUGUUAAUUAAAGCCAUUAUUCAAUUCUCUA